UGGGGAAUCUUGCACAAUGGGGGCAACCCUGAUGCAGCGACGCCGCGUGAGCGAUGAAGCCCUUCGGGGCGUAAAGCUCUUUCGACCGGAACGAUAAUGACGGUACCUGGAGAAGAAGCUGCGGCUAACUACGUGCCAGCAGCCGCGGUAAUACGUAGGCAGCGAGCGUUGUUCGGAGUUACUGGGCGUAAAGAGUGCGUAGGCGGCGAGCCAAGUUUGGUGUGAAAUCUCCCGGCUUAACCGGGAGGGUGCGCCGAAAACUGGUUGGCUGGAGUAUGGGAGAGGAGAGCGGAAUUCCUGGUGUAGCGGUGAAAUGCGUAGAUAUCAGGAGGAACACCUGCGGUGUAGACAGCUUUCUGGACCAAAACUGACGCUGAGGCACGAAAGCGUGGGUAGCAAACA
rnacentral:rRNA from 1 species